rnacentral:rRNA from 1 species
UACGUAGGGUGCGAGCGUUGUCCGGAAUUACUGGGCGUAAAGAGCUCGUAGGCGGUUUGUCGCGUCUGCCGUGAAAGUCCGGGGCUCAACUCCGGAUCUGCGGUGGGUACGGGCAGACUAGAGUGAUGUAGGGGAGACUGGAAUUCCUGGUGUAGCGGUGAAAUGCGCAGAUAUCAGGAAGAACACCAAUGGCGAAGGCAGCUCUCUGGGACGGUACUGACGCUGAGACGCGAAAGCGUGGGGAGCGAACAGG